GUGGGGAAUAUUGGACAAUGGGCGAAAGCCUGAUCCAGCCAUGCCGCGUGUGUGAAGAAGGUCUUCGGAUUGUAAAGCACUUUAAGUUGGGAGGAAGGGCAGUAAGUUAAUACCUUGCUGUUUUGACGUUACCAACAGAAUAAGCACCGGCUAACUUCGUGCCAGCAGCCGCGGUAAUACGAAGGGUGCAAGCGUUAAUCGGAAUUACUGGGCGUAAAGCGCGCGUAGGUGGUUCAGCAAGUUGAAGGUGAAAUCCCCGGGCUCAACCUGGGAACUGCCUCCAAAACUACUGAGCUAGAUUACGGUAGAUGGUAGUGGAAUUUCCUGUGUAGCGGUGAAAUGCGUAGAUAUAGGAAGGAACACCAGUGGCGAAGGCGACUACCUGGACUGAUACUGACACUGAGGUGCGAAAGCGUGGGGAGCAAACAGGAUUAGAUACCCUUGUAGUCC
rnacentral:rRNA from 1 species